rnacentral:rRNA from 1 species
UACGGAGGGUGCAAGCGUUAUCCGGAUUCACUGGGUUUAAAGGGUGCGUAGGCGGGUAAGUAAGUCCGUGGUGAAAUCUCUGAGCUUAACUCAGAAACUGCCGUGGAUACUAUUUGCCUUGAAUAUUGUGGAGGUGAGCGGAAUAUGUCAUGUAGCGGUGAAAUGCUUAGAUAUGACAUAGAACACCGAUUGCGUAGGCAGCUCACUAAACUCUCACUGACGCUGAGGCACGAAAGCAUGGGGAUCAAACAGG